GCAUAACACGGUCCUCUUUUGUCGCACGGAUUUUCCUCCCAUAAGCGCAUAUUCAGAUGUGUACGGAUACGACUGCUUCCUUCUGUUCAUGUGAUUCAUUGUCGCUGUGUUACUGUAUGCAGAUCUCACUCAGCUCUGCUCUCCGAGCAUGCUGCUUCCAACACGACUUCCCGAAAGAAAAUGUGCUCGCGCAUUAGAGGGAGGUGAAAGAUGCACCUGCAGGAGAAUACAUGCUUAAGAGAAGGCAGAAACAUGCCCGGAUCCACCAGAACUAGUGCUGGCAAGUCAACAGAGGCGAGUACUGAUAAUGUUCCAGAUUGUGGUAGGAUCACAUAAGCAAAAUUGACACUGGGAGGCACGGCGGUGGGUCAGCUCAUGGCCAGCGCCAGCUCCAGUGGAUAUCACGUGCAUCCAGUUCUAGUACUAUAGUAUGACUGCUACAAAGUAGUGUGGCCCAAAUAGAACUCGGGUCAGGUGCCGAAGAACUGGGGGGUGGGGGCAUGUAUCAAUGAAUGGUAAUAACUCCGGAAAUCAUGCUGGUGUAUCGAGGGCGUGGGCCAAUGAAGUGCUGGAUUGAUGGUGGACGACUGUACUGCAAUCUUGGCUGGUCCCACUAUCGCAGAGACAGCACUUCCUGGUGCAACCACCCUAUCCUGCAAUCUAUAUAAUAAUUAUUAUAAGAGAUUUGUGUGAACGAUUUUAGCAUGAUGCAAGUCAACUUAUUGUGCUGGGGGCCUGGCUACAUGUCACUAUAGCUUUUUAUAGACUCGAUCACCGCAUUACGCUGCCUUGCGUUGACUUGAUUGAGCACUCUUUUUGGUUAGUGUCAAAGGUAUAUGUAAUAUGUAUCUGCCUUCGUGCAAAGCUCUCUUUGUGCGUGUCUUGCAGAUAGCUCGCUGACUUUGAUGCUUUGAGCCAUUUUCAAAUUGCUUUUUUUGUUCAUUUCAUAUAGACCGUAUUGCCAUUUGUUUAACCUCC